rnacentral:lncRNA from 1 species
GCUUAUUCUUAUUUUGGUCACCCCAAAACAAUACAUGAAAAUGCACCGUUUGUUUUUUCGUUACUAUUUAACAGCGAGGUGACCAAUUUGAUCAAUUUCUAUUUUAGAGUGAUCAAAUUAACAAAAAAAAAAUUUGAGGUGACCAAAUAGGAAUAACCUCUAGUUAGAGUGACUAGUGGGGUAGUUUACUGGAUGGGGUAAUUAGGUAUAUGUGUUUACUGUCUUUCCAAGCUUAUUUCAGCUUACGUUUGAGUGAAACCGAGUUGUUUUAGAAGUAAAUUGUGCUUAAGGUAAUUUGUAGGCGUGUCUGAAUUUUAGUGUUAUGCUUAAUAGUUUUUAUGAUAUUUUGAAGUUUUGAUGAUAAAUGAUGCUCAUAGAGUGUGCUGGAACAUGAACAGGGGUGAAAAGAAGGUUGAAUGUAUCAAGAGUUGAAGGCUCUACAAACAGAGACUCGUGUUGUGACGUCAUUACAUGGUUGGGCGUCCCGACGUGAAAGGUUGACUAUGCAAGAAGUGGCCAAGGUCUGAGGUCGCGUCAUGGAUAGAUUGGACAUCAUGACCUAGCUCACUAUUUUGAGUUGAGUAAUUGAAGGAGCUAGGUAACGUCGUGAUGUUGAAGAACCGAGGGCGUGGUGUGGAACAAUUCAGCAUUUGAAGGCAUCCAAGUCGGUGAGUGACACCAUGACGUUGAUUUGCUGGAAGUCGCGGUGUUUGCUUUUGAAGUCACAGUGUAGGAGCCUUGAUGCCAUGACGUGGGAGCUCUACACCUGGUCUAGGGAGAAGUAUGUUCGUGAGGCUACAUUGUCAAGUCUCAGAUCGAAGAUUCCUGAUGAUUAUUUAGGGGCAGUUUGUGGGAAAUUUGCCUUACAACCUUUAUAAAAUUAGAUUUUAAGUGAGGUUAUUUCGUCAUUCAACCAAUCAUUAUAAAUGCUGAGGCAUCAGAAAAUUAGGAGAGAGAGCAUUUUUAGGAGAAUUACAAAGAUUGUUCAAUUUAUUUCUUUCAAUUUUCUAUUGAGUAUCUUAGUGUUCAACUUAGUUCUUGAUAUUGUUGGAGGAAUUUGUCCAUCUCUUUAUUGUGACAGACGGUGUAAGGUUGGAAUUAACGCAAACUUUAGCUGUGGGCUAAUUUGGCUGAGCCUUUCCUAAACUUAAAAUCUUACUUUCUUUAUUGAUUUAAAUGUUUAGAAAGAUGAUUCUUUUGUUGAUUCUUUGAUGAGGUUCUAAAUCUUGUUGAAGGUUAAUUAUGAUGCUAGUUUUGAAUGAUGCUUCCAUGAAUUUUUGAUUUUACCAAUUGCUUGAUUGCGUUAAUGUGCUUAGUAAACUAGAAUUGACAAUUCUAGUUAGAAACUUAGAUAGAUGAGAUUGAGAGGAGAUUCUAUAGCGUAAUCAUUAACACGAUUGUGUCAAAUAGUAAGACCAAGAGAUGAUCUAUUACUUAAGUGAGACCGAGAGAACAUCCUAAGUGGUAACUUAUAGAUUAUAAUGAGACCAAGAGGAGACUUGUAGCUAAAAGUAGUAAUCGGUAAAAUAGAAACAUAUGUGUAACUUCAUAAUUGCACGUUAAGGUAGAUUCGUCUUUAUUAUUCUUAAUCUAUUUGCAUUAAUGGUCUUGAAGUUGUAGUAAUCGUUUCAUGAGUAUAACAAGCAAUUAACAAGUUUUCCCUUAUCAAACACCUGAG